UACAGAGGGUGCAAGCGUUAAUCGGAAUUACUGGGCGUAAAGCGUGCGCAGGCGGUUUUGUAAGUCUGUCGUGAAAUCCCCGGGCUCAACCUGGGAAUUGCGAUGGAGACUGCAAGGCUAGAAUCUGGCAGAGGGGGGUAGAAUUCCACGUGUAGCAGUGAAAUGCGUAGAGAUAGUGGGAGGAACACCGAUGGCGAAGGCAGCCCCCUGGGAUCGAAGAUUGCGCUCAUGCACGA
rnacentral:rRNA from 1 species